UGGUUUUUAGUUAUAUAAGAAAAACGUUGUUUUGCAAAAACAAAAAGCUGUAAGCCAGGGAACCAU
rnacentral:tRNA from 1 species